ACAGGUGGGAUCGCGUUUUCAGGUUCGAAGUGUGAGUAGGUGGCCCCGUGCUUGAGUCCGAAGAGGAGAGUUAGAGGAAGAACCAAUGGAAGGAUGAAAUAUCUAGAUCUUGGUUGGAAGAUCAAAGCGACAGCAUCACUCUAUCCUGGGACUGACACUGAAUCACUAAAGUGUGGGGAGCAAACCGGGUAAGACA
rnacentral:rRNA from 1 species